UGGGGAAUAUUGCACAAUGGGGGAAACCCUGAUGCAGCGACGCCGCGUGAACGAAGAAGGUAUUCGUAUCGUAAAGUUCUGUCCUAUGGGAAGAUAAUGACAGUACCAUAGAAGAAAGCUCCGGCUAAAUACGUGCCAGCAGCCGCGGUAAUACGUAUGGAGCGAGCGUUGUCCGGAAUUAUUGGGCUUAAAGGGUACGCAGGCGGUUUAAUAAGUCGAAUGUUAAAGAUCGGGGCUCAACCCCGCAAAGCAUUGGAAACUGAUAAACUUGAGUAGUGGAGAGGAAAGUGGAAUUCCUAGUGUAGUGGUGAAAUACGUAGAUAUUAGGAGGAAUACCAGUAGCGAAGGCGACUUUCUGGACAAAAACUGACGCUGAGGUACGAAAGCGUGGGGAGCAAACAGG
rnacentral:rRNA from 1 species